rnacentral:rRNA from 1 species
UACAGAGGUCUCAAGCGUUGUUCGGAUUCAUUGGGCGUAAAGGGCGCGUAGGCGGUCUUGUAAGUCCUGUGUGAAAUCCCUCGGCUCAACUGAGGAACUGCACGGGAAACUGCUUGGCUUGAGUUCGGGAGAGGGAAGCGGAAUUCCGGGUGUAGCGGUGAAAUGCGUAGAUAUCCGGAGGAACACCGGUGGCGAAGGCGGCUUCCUGGACCGACACUGACGCUGAGGCGCGAAAGCUAGGGGAGCAAACGGG